rnacentral:misc_RNA from 1 species
GAUGAAGAACGCAGCGAAAUGCGAUAAGUAAUGUGAAUUGCAGAAUUCCGUGAAUCAUCGAAUCUUUGAACGCACAUUGCGCCCCCUGGUAUUCCGGGGGGCAUGCCUGUCCGAGCGUCAUUGCAACCCUCAAGCGCGGCUUGUGUGUUGGGCUUCGUCCCCCCGUGGACGUGCCCGAAAGGCAGUGGCGGCGUCCCGAAUGGUGCCCGAGCGUAUGGGAACUCUCUUCCGCUCGAACCGGCCCAUUCGGCGCUGGUCGAACCCCAAUUUUUUUUUACCGGUUGACCUCGGAUCAGGUAGGGAUACCCGCUGAACUUAAGAAUAUCAAUAAGCGGAGGA